GACGGUAAAAACUUACCAGAUUUCGGAUAAGUCACAAUAACAACGUCGUCCGGUCUAAAAGUGAAUUGUUCAUAGUAUGCAAUGCUCUCUGGAGGAUGUAACAGUUUUGGAAGAUAGACUCCUUUGUAGACGGUGUAUAAUUCUUCUUCAGUCAUGCUGCUCCAAAAGUGACAGCAACCUAGCAAACACAAAGUGAACCUUGGACUCUAGCUAGAGCUUCCGUAGACCUCACAUUAUCGGUCUUCUUGUCAUUCUGACAAGAAUAGUCAUUCGUGCUGCCUCUCUCUCCCUAUCAGAGAUAUCUACCACUCUGUUACUGUGAUCCUAAAACGAAUGGUUUAAGAAGACGAUGUAGGCUAGUUAUUUUGUCAAAAACAGAACCUGUGCCACGAGAAAGUGGUAAAAUGUGAUGUUGUAAGGAAUUGCAUCCACUGUUCUGUGGUCUGUCUUUGGAUCAUUGCUACCUUUCAGCUCAAAUCCCCAUUGGAAUGGUACCAAUAAAUAUGUCUGUGAUCUUGGGGCCCAUCAAGGAGAGAAAGACAAACACGCCAAUGCAUCAGAGUCAAGGUCUACAUAGUCAGCUACGCCGUGAGCAUCAUGUAAAAACAAGUGACCGUUAUCCUCCGUUAAUCUCCUCACAUAUCAACAUUAAUAAAUCCAAUGAGCAUGUGUUGUUUUCUCAUUGAUUACACACUA